AAAAGAACUUUGAAGAGAGAGUUAAACAGGACGUGAAACCACUAGGGACGAAGCGGAUGGAGUUGACGAAACUAACAGUAUUCAAUAUUGUGCGUUCGCUUGGCGGCAUGCGUGUGGUGUGUUGUGCAUCGCGGCGAUGUUGUUUCUUGUGGACGUGCGGUUUGCAUUUGCUGUUAAUAUGUGCUGAGAGGUCUGGUUGCUUCUUCCUAACUUUGGUGCGUUGCCCUACGUCUUUGGCGAAGGUGUCUUGUGCCGAAGGGAUGUUGAUAGUGACUAGGCUCCGACUGCAGCUUGCGAUUGCGCGGUUGGCGUGGCGUAGUGCAUUGUGCGUGAGCGGUGGCUUGUCACUUGUUUGCGAUUUCAGUGUACGAUGUUCGCGUUGGACGCUAAGUAGCUGUCUCAGUAUGAAAAGUCAGCCACCCAUCCGACCCGUCUUGAAACACGGACCAAGAAGUCUAGCAUGUGCGCGAGUCAUUGGGUGUAAAAACCUAAAGGCGAAAUGAAAGUGAAGGCCGACUUGGUGCGGCUGAUAUGGGAGUCGUGUUCGUGCGCGUUCGCGAUGCACCAUAGCCCCAUCCCGUGAGCUUGCUCGGGGGUGGAGGAAGAGCGUACAUGCUGGGACCCGAAAGAUGGUGAACUAUGCCUGAGCAGGAUGAAGUCAGAGGAAACUCUGAUGGAAGUCCGAAGCGGUUCUGACGUGCAAAUCGAUCGUCUGACUUGGGUAUAGGGGCGAAAGACUAAUCGAACCAUC
rnacentral:rRNA from 1 species